rnacentral:rRNA from 1 species
AGACUUUGAUCCUGGCUCAGAACGAACGCUGGCGGCAGGCUUAACACAUGCAAGUCGAACGUGAAGCUGGAGCUUGCUCCAGUGGAAAGUGGCAGACGGGUGAGUAACGCGUGGGAAUUUACCCAGUGGUUCGGAAUAACUUCAGGAAACCGGAGCUAAUACCGAAUACGCCCUUCGGGGGAAAGAUUUAUCGCCAUUGGAUGAGCCCGCGUCGGAUUAGCUUGUUGGUGAGGUAAAAGCUCACCAAGGCGACGAUCCGUAGCUGGUCUGAGAGGAUGAUCAGCCACACUGGGACUGAGACACGGCCCAGACUCCUACGGGAGGCAGCAGUGGGGAAUAUUGCGCAAUGGAGGAAACUCUGACGCAGCCAUGCCGCGUGAGUGAAGAAGGCCUUAUGGUUGUAAAACUCUUUCGCUAGGGAAGAUAAUGACGGUACCUANUAAAGAAGCCCCGGCCAACUCCGUGCCAGCAGCCCGCGGUAAUACCGAGGGGGCUAGCCGUUGUUCCGAAUUACUGGGCGUNAAGCGCCCGUAGCNGGCUGGUUANUUUG